AGUGAACGCUGGCGGUAGGCCUAACACAUGCAAGUCGAACGGCAGCACAGGAGAGCUUGCUCUCUGGGUGGCGAGUGGCGGACGGGUGAGGAAUACAUCGGAAUCUACCUUUUCGUGGGGGAUAACGUAGGGAAACUUACGCUAAUACCGCAUACGACCUACGGGUGAAAGUGGGGGACCGCAAGGCCUCACGCGAUUAGAUGAGCCGAUGUCCGAUUAGCUAGUUGGCGGGGUAAUGGCCCACCAAGGCGACGAUCGGUAGCUGGUCUGAGAGGAUGAUCAGCCACACUGGAACUGAGACACGGUCCAGACUCCUACGGGAGGCAGCAGUGGGGAAUAUUGGACAAUGGGCGCAAGCCUGAUCCAGCCAUACCGCGUGGGUGAAGAAGGCCUUCCGGUUGUAAAGCCCUUUUGUUGGGAAAGAAAUCCUGUCGAUUAAUACUCGGUGGGGAUGACGGUACCCAAAGAGUAAGCACCGGCUAACUUCGUGCCAGCAGCCGCAGUAACAC
rnacentral:rRNA from 1 species